rnacentral:rRNA from 1 species
UACGUAGGGGGGCUAGCGUUGUCCGGAAUCAUUGGGCGUAAAGAGCGUGUAGGCGGCCCGGUAAGUCCGCUGUGAAAGUCGGGGGGCUCAACCCUUGAAAGCCGGUUGAUACUGUCGGGCUAGAGUCCGGAAGAGGCGUGUGGAAUUCCCGGUGUAGCGGUGAAAUGCGCAGAUAUCGGGAGGAACACCAAUGGCGAAGGCAGCUCGCUGGGACGGUACUGACGCUGAGACGCGAAAGCGUGGGGAGCAAACAGG